ensembl:lncRNA
CGGCACUUAGUUUACAAAAAAGUCACAAAAAUAUAUAUAUGUGUGUGUAGUCACCAAGAACUAUGGUUCCUGUAAAAUACUAAUAGCCAGAUACUAGUAUAUAAAAUGUGAAGUUCUGACAUUGUAUACAUUUUUAAGAAAUAAACUCCAAAACCAUUUUUGUUAUUGUCCAAAAUCAAACAUGCCAAGUAACUUAGCAAUGGCCACUGUCACCAACUAAAGCCAUAGUUGAUUGAGAUGAGGACUGGACACAACGCUGGGCAGCUGGGGACUGGCAUAGCUGUACUGAUUCUGGGAGGAGAAGAGGACAUAAAAACACCCACCUGCAUAACUUAGUUCAUGUUUCCUCUUUAGCAUUACAUCCCUUGAGGGUUUUGUAAGAUGCCAGUGCCCUCCAAAAUCAUGCUAGAGCCGGCAGGGUAAAAAGUUGCCCCCACACUUUCUUGCUGCCAGACUGCAGGUGAAUAUUAAAGCAUGCAUUAGCUACACAGAGCACUCAGCACCCUGGGGAGACUGGUGCAGUCUCCACCUAGGCUGUUUGCACUAAAAUGGACUCGUUUUUAAAUAGAGCCAGAUUUAUACGUUAGCCCUGUAAAAUACUGAGCUACUUAUAGCAGCAAAUAUGCAAUUACAAACAUGAUUUUAUUAAAAAACCCAUGUCUGUUACAUCAGAACAAUUUUUCCCUUUCAAACCUAUCUCCCUUAGCCAAUAUUAUUUUCUUCUAUCACUGAAUUCUGGUCUAUUAUCUCAAUCUGACUUUUCUUAUUAUGCUGCUCUGGAAAAAGAAUACUUCCUAAUCCUGGAAAAGCGUAAAUUUACUCUUAAAAAUGGGGAUACAGGAAUUAUAAAGUAAAAAAAAAGUUUGUUCUAAAAGUAUCUUUCACAAAUAUAUAUAUUUAAAUAUUAAAAUAGGCUAACUAGGAUUUUUAUAAAAUGGCUUUUGAAAAGAUAGCAGAGGCACAAAGAAGCCAUAUACUAUCCUCCAAAUUGGACAUAAGGUGCCAUAAGGGUGCCCUACAAAGAGGCAGGCAAUCUCUAUCUGAUGUGACAGGAGUCACCAGUAACAACAGAAUAAUUAAAUAGAUUAUUGGGAAUUUAGAUCAAAACAAAAUGUUACUCUAUCAGGGAUUGUUGGUUUUCAAAAAAUACCUUGAAAUACAAGCAUCAGAAGCCAUCAUUUUGUACAAGGAAGAUAAAGAGUAAAGUUUAUGAUCUUCCAAAUACCCAAUGUCAUUCAUUUCAGGUGCCUGAAAGAUGAAAAACAGUGCAACUUUCAAAAAUUUAAUGGACUACUCUCAGUAUGAGAGACUUUAAAAAGCAUCUGUCAAUUUGAA